rnacentral:rRNA from 1 species
AUUGAACGCUGGCGGCAGGCCUAACACAUGCAAGUCGAACGAGUGGCGGACGGGUGAGUAAUGUCUGGGAAACUGCCUGAUGGAGGGGGAUAACUACUGGAACCGGUAGCUACUACCGCAUACCAUCAGAUGUGCCCAGAUGGGAUUAGCUUGUUGGUGGGGUAACGGCUCACCAAGGCGACGAUCCCUAGCUGGUCUGAGAGGCUGACCAGCAACACUGGGACUGAGACACGGUCCAGACUCCGACGGGAGGCAGCAGUGGGGAAUAUUUCACAAUGUGCGCAAGCCUGAUGCAGCCAUGCCGCGUGAAUGAAGAAGGCCUUCGGUUGGUAAAGUACUGUCAGCGGGGAGGCGUUACCCGCAGAAGAAGCACCGGCUAACUCCGUGCCAGCCGCCGCGGUAAUAC